ACGUAGGGGGAGAGCAUUAUUCGGAAUUACUGGGAGUAAAGGGUAUGUAGGCAGCCCUUCAAGUCGCGUGUCAAAGUCGAGUGCUCAACGCUGGGGGAGCACGCGAUACUGACGAGCUUGAGGGCUGGAGAGGUGAGCGGAAUUCCCGGUGUAGUAGCAAAAUUCGUAUAGAUCGGGAGUACCACCAGCGGCUCAGGCGACUCACUAGUCAGUUUCUGACGCUAAGAUACGAAAGCGUGUGGAGCAAACAG
rnacentral:rRNA from 1 species